rnacentral:lncRNA from 1 species
AAAAUAAAUGCGUUUUGUAUACAAGAUAAUGAAUUCAUAUGACGACCGCUUGAUGGUGGUUGCUAUCUGAAAUCUCAAAUUAGAAACUGUUAGAUAUAAAAAUAUUUAAACACCGUCUUCUAACAGCUUAAACUUUUAGAGUACAACGAUUGUUUCACAUGAUAUCAGAGCAAGAGGUCCUGAGUUCGAUUCACGUCAGACUCCUAGCAUAUUAAUUUCCUCCCAUUUAAUUCAAACCCACGUCAUGGGACGAUUAAAAAGUCUCGAGCCCAAACGUGAGGGAGAGUGUUAAAUAUAAAAAUGUUUAAACACCGUCUUCUAACGGUUUAAGCUUUUAGAGUACAACGGUUGUUUCACAGAAACUCAAUUAUUUUAUAUUUCUAAUUAAAUUUAUUUUUUUUAAAAAUAAACAAAACAGCUAACAAGUUAUCUUUCUCUUUUGGAAAAAAUAAAAUAAAAUAAAAUUUGGAUGGAAAAGUUU